CACGUAGGGCGCAAGCGUUGUCCGGAAUUAUUGGGCGUAAAGAGCUCGUAGGCGGUCUGUUGCGUCCGCUGUGAAAACCCGGGGCUUAACCCUGGGCUGGCAGUGGAUACGGACAGACUAGAGGUAGGUAGGGGAGAAUGGAAUUCCCGGUGUAGCGGUGAAAUGCGCAGAUAUCAGGAAGAACACCGAUGGCGAAGGCAGAUCUCUGGGCCGUAACUGACGCUGAGGAGCGAAAGCAUGGGGAGCGAACAGG
rnacentral:rRNA from 1 species